rnacentral:lncRNA from 1 species
UUCUAAAAGAGAAUGUUUAUAUUCUGUUCAUGUGUAAGGAUACACUUCAAAAAUCCUUUGAGGCUUCGGACUAUCUUUAUCUGGAUGUGGAAAGACCAUGUUUCUGUACUCAGUCAUCCACAGGAAAGAGGCUAAGGAGUCAGCAAAGUCAGGAUGACUGGUCACGGCCCAGGAUGCAGGGGACUAUCUCGACGUCUUCAGUGUCUGACCACGCUCUGAGCCCUCCACAGAUCCUGUUUCAGCUACCUUCAUGUCUAUUGGAACAAACUGUUCACAUCUCUCCAUUCCAUUAGGGUGGAGUUUUCACAUGCUUCAGGAAAGGAAACAGACCAGGGAAGGGAAGUUACUUGUCCAAGGUCACAUAACGAGAGAGCGGGAAGAAACAGAAUUCAAACGCAAGCUUCUAUGCCUCCAAGCACACUUCCAAUUGCAACCCACUCCUGUGAAAUCACAAAUUCCUGAAGUAUUGAAAUAAGUAUAAGUUAGUGGAAAGGGAUGAGAUCGAAUCAAACUCAUUCAAAAAUGGAGGAAAUUAAUUUGUUAAAAGGAAAAAAACCUCAAUGAUUAGCCACCCUGUAAUUUCCAGUGAUUUCCUUUCAAGGAAACUGUGACCACUGUCGUUAUAUACAAAAUAAAAAUAAAUAAAAGAGAAGAAAGUUUUGUGUU